CCUACGGGGUGCAGCAGUAGGGAAUCUUCCACAAUGGACGAAAGUCUGAUGGAGCAACGCCGCGUGAGUGAAGAAGGGUUUCGGCUCGUAAAGCUCUGUCGGCAGUGAAGAAAGAUAGAGGUAGUAACUGGCCUUUAUUUGACGGUAAUUACUUAGAAAGUCACGGCUAACUACGUGCCAGCAGCCGCGGUAAUACGGAGGUGGCAAGCGUUUUCCGGAGUUGUUGGGCGUAAAGCGAGUGCAGGCGGUUCGAUAAGUCUGAUGUGAAAGUCUUCGGCUCAACCGGAGAAUUGCAUCAGAAACUGGUGAACUUGAGUGCGGGAGAGGAGAGUGGAACUCCAUGUGUAGCGGUGGAAUGCGUAGAUAUAUGGAAGAACACCAGUGGCGAAGGCGGCUCUCUGGUCUGCAACUGACGCUGAGGCUCGAAAGCAUGGGGAGCGAACAGGAUUAGAUACCCUUGUAGUC
rnacentral:rRNA from 1 species